ACAGGAUUCCGACCUGGAGCCAGUUACUGUGUGGCCGAGGUCUUUAACAACGUCAAUCAGGUAUGUAUUUUCUUUAAUAAUAAGACAUUAAUCAAUGCAUGUGACGAAUGAAAACAAGCACUAUUAAAGUCAACAAAAUAGAGCUUUCAAAAAUUACUGUAUAAGUGCGACAGAUCCUUAAAUAUACCUUAAGUGUAUAAAUGAUUGCAACUGCACUGAAUGUUAUAGUUUGCAUUAGUUUAUUUAACGCUAACAGCCUGUGUGUGGGUUUAUGAACAUGCUUUAUAAAAAAAGAAGAGGAGGAGGAUUUGAUUGGUUGGCACGUUGCCAGUGUAUUGUCAGUCACCGAGUGUAAACAAGACUCUGAUUGGCUGCUCGCCAGUCCUCAUUGGGCUAUCUGGAAAAAAAAGGAAGAAAUAACUGGAUCUGCGGUUUCAAGGCGUCCCAGGUUAGAAAUGAUGAAAACAGAUAAGAAGGAACUGUUUCAAGGCGCUCCAAAAGGCGGACCCUCUGUGGCCCUGGAGCCGUACUCGGAGGACGCGAGAAGAAGUAGAGAAAGAAAUGUUCGAUGUGCUGAAGGAUUCAAAUUUGUUGCGCAGUAUCUGGAACAGAUAAACAUGAAACAGUCACAUGGCGGAUCUCGGAGCACAACGCAUGAAUUAUGUACAGAAUUGUAGUGAAAAUAUAUGUAGAUACAGAAUGAGCAAUUUAUGUAUAGAAAGUAGAAAAUAUCAAGAGAAUGACAGGUCUCUGAUUGACAGUCCAGCUCUGUCUCAAGGAAGCAAGAACUGAUUCUCUGAAACACAAAAGGGUUUGUGUGUGUGUGUGUGUGUGUGUGUGUGUAAACCACACUAUAAAAUUUAUAUACCAAAUGCUUUUUACAAAUCACUCAUUAAGAUAUAAUAAUAAUAAUAAUAAUAAUAAUAAUAAUAAUAAUGCUACAUCAUGCAAUAGGUCCACCUUGGAAAUUGAGCCCGAACAUUGUUUUACAUUUUGAGUUUAUGCAAAACAAAUGCAAUUAUUUUUAUCAAAUAAAAUAAAAAAACCUGCUUUGUCUGUCUUUGCU
ensembl:lncRNA